UUAAAUGUCCCUAUCACUAGAGAAGAUAUAUGUAUUGUGUUUUCCGACAUGAAAACCCCCAAAACUCCGAGGGCAGACGUCCUUCACACGUCUUUCUUUCAACAUCAUGGGAACAUCGUAGGGGACUUGACUUGUGAGAUGGUGAUGAAAAUGUUCCAAGGGGAGAGAUAGAGAAAGGCCUCAAUUGAACCGUAAUCACCUUGAUUCCCAAACUGGCUAAACCCACGAACAUCAAAGAAUUUCGGCCAAUUAGCCUUCUUAAUAUCUUGUACAAAAUCAUCACCAAAAUCAUUACCAACAAGCUUAAGGGAAUUAUAC
rnacentral:lncRNA from 1 species